CUGAGCCAGCCAGGCGCUCCUGGGAUGUGUUUUGGGAAGUGAAACUGCCUGGCAGAAAGCUACACCUGGAUUCUUGCAGCUGAACCCAUGUAACUGGCAUCUGGACUUUUCUACCCAGUUACCCCCAUGUGUGGUCACCAUUGUACAACGGACUGUCUUCAGACUGGAGCACCUGCUCAUCAGACGGUCUUGGCCCAGCAUAUCUCCUGUCUUCUCAAGAAUUCUCAUCGUUAGAAUUACUCAUGAUUGGGGUGCCUGGACGGCUCAGUCGGUUAAGCAUCU